UACGUAGGGUGCGAGCGUUGUCCGGAAUUAUUGGGCGUAAAGAGCUCGUAGGCGGUUUGUUGCGUCGGCCGUGAAAACCUGCAGCUUAACUGUGGGCCUGCGGCCGAUACGGGCAGACUUGAGUUCGGUAGGGGAGACUGGAAUUCCUGGUGUAGCGGUGAAAUGCGCAGAUAUCAGGAGGAACACCGGUGGCGAAGGCGGGUCUCUGGGCCGAUACUGACGCUGAGAGCGAAAGCGUGGGGAGCGAACAGG
rnacentral:rRNA from 1 species